GAGCGCCGGGAUGCCGGAAAGUUGGUCAAACUUGAUCAUUUAGAGGAAGUAAAAGUCGUAACAAGGUUUUCCGUAGGUGAACCUGCGGAAGGAUCAUUACCGAUAGAAUAAUCCAAGACGAGUCCUUGAGACUUGUUUACUGUGUGAAUUGUACGCAAUCUUUUAGGGGUCGGUCUCUGUGCCGUUAAAUGGUCGUCCGCCGCUUGGCGUGCGUUCGGUCAGCCCCGACUUUAUGUUUUUUCAAACUUUGUUUAUUCAGUCUGAGAACCAAUAGUGUUGGAAAACGAAAAAGAGAAAGACAACUUUUAACGGUGGAUCUCUUGGCUCACGCAUCGAUGAAGAACGCAGCCAGCUGCGAUAAGUAGUGUGAAUUGCAGAAUUCAGUGAAUCAUCGAAUCUUUGAACGCAAAUGGCGCUCUUGGGUUCUCCCAGGAGCAUGUCUGCCUGAGUGUCGGAUAUCAUCCAACGCACUUGAGUGUGCGGCAUUGAGGCGUCACGGCACACUUAUGCCGCCGUGUCCCUUGAAAAGCAGAGAGACUCGCAUCGUGCGUGGUUCUGCACCCCCAUGCGAAGGCUAAAAAUCCAUUUGGUCCUUGGCUGGGUCAGUGUUCGGAACGCGCGCGGAGUCCCACGACAAAAACAUAACUAUCUGGACCUCAGUCAGUCAAGCACCCA
rnacentral:rRNA from 1 species